rnacentral:rRNA from 1 species
AUUAUUUAUUUAUUAUUUAUGUUAAUAAAAAUAAUUUUAUUAAUAAUUUUUUUUAGUAUUUUUUAAAGAAAAAAAAAUAUUAAUUAUAGAGAAUAAGUAUUGAGAUAGAAUUAUUGAAAUAAAUUUUUAAUUUUUAAAAAGUAAAAUUAAUUUUUUGUACCUUGUGUAUCAGGGUUUAUUAAAUAAUUAUUAUAAAAUUAAUUUUCCCGAUUUUAAGAGAGAUAAUUUAAUAAUUUUUUUAUUGUGAUAAAAAUAUUUAUAAUAUUAAAUUAGAAAUGAAAUGUUAUUCGUUCUUAAAAAUAUCUGGUUUAUUUAGAAAUAAAUUUAAUUUAAUUAGUUUUAUUUUAAUAAUUUAUUUAUUUAAAUUAUUAUAUUUUAUUAGUAAUAAUUAAAGGGAUUAGCUUUUAAUUAAAAUUCUAUAAUUCAUUAAAAAAUUCAAAAUAUGUAAGUUUAGAAAUAUUUAUCAUUAGUAGUUUGUUAUAAUUAAUUUUUUAGAUUAAUAUUAUUUAAUAAGUUUUUAKAUUUUUUAUAAAUAAAUAAUUUUUAUUUUUAAAAAAUUAKUUAUUAUGAUAAAAUUAGUAUAUAUAUAUGUUUAAAUAAUUUUAUUAUAAAAGAUUAUUUAAAGGAAUUCGGCAAAAAUUUUACUCGCCUGUUUAACAAAAACAUGUCCUUUUGAUCUUAAUUUAAGGUUUAACCUGCCCACUGAUUUAUUAAAGGGCCGCAGUAAUUUGACUGUGCAAAGGUAGCAUAAUCAUUAGUUUUUUAAUUAAAAGCUUGUAUGAAAGGUUGGACGAAGUAAAUUCUGUCUCUAUUUAAUUUAAUUUAGAAUUUAAUUUUUAAGUUAAAAAGCUUAAAUUUUUUUAAAAGACGAGAAGACCCUAUAGAUUUUUAUAUUAAAUUUAAUUAAUUUAAUUUAGAAUUAUUAAUUUUUUAUUAAAUUUAUUAUUUUAUUGGGGUAAUAGAGAGAUUAAUUUAAUUCUUUUUUAAUAUUUACAUUAAUUUAUGUUUAAAUGAUCCAAUUUUAUUGAUUAUAAGAUUAAAUUACCUUAGGGAUAACAGCGUAAUUUUUUUAAAGAGUUCAUAUCGAUAAAAAAGUUUGCGACCUCGAUGUUGGAUUAAAAAUUAUCUUAGGUGCAGAAUUUUAAGAUUAUGGUCUGUUCGACCAUUGAAUUUUUACAUGAUCUGAGUUCAGACCGGUGUAAGCCAGGUCGGUUUCUAUCUUUAAUAAAUUUAAAUAUUUUAGUACGAAAGGACCAAAUAUUUAAUAUAGUAUAUUAUUAAUUUUGAAUAUUAUUA